UACGUAGGUGGCAAGCGUUGUCCGGAUUUACUGGGCGUAAAGGGCGUGCAGGUGGUCUGUUAAGUUCAGGGUGAAAGCUCCCGGCUCAACUGGGAGAGGUCCUUGGAUACUGGCAGACUUGAGGGAGGUAGAGGAGAGUGGAAUUCCCGGUGUAGUGGUGAUAUGCGUAGAUAUCGGGAGGAACACCAAUAGCGAAGGCAGCUCGCUGGGACGUUACUGACACUGAGGCGCGAAAGCGUGGGGAGCGAACAGG
rnacentral:rRNA from 1 species